UCAGACUGCACAGGAGCCACACGAUUGAUCUAGGAUUCUGAAACCCUAGAUCAAACGGCCAGGAACAAGGGGGACUGGACCGGAAAUAAACCGGUCCGGUUCACUGGCUAUAUAAACACAAAGGCUCCGGUUUUUUUCAUUUUCUCCUCUCCUUCUCUCUCUUCUCUCAUCCUAGUGAGAGAAGCUCCCACUUCUCUCUAGAAAUCCGGUUGUCUUCUCCGGCAUGGCUUAGCUCCUCCGGCGCGGUGGCCGGCCACCUCCAGGUGGCGGCGCCGCCGCCGGAAAAACUUCCUUGCUCCGAUUCAAAAAAUUUUUACGUUUUUAAACAUCCUUUUUCGUGCUAUUCAUGAAUCCGAGCUUGGUUUUUUGAAAAAGAUUUUCAACCGGAGUAGAUCUAAGUUUGAAGUUGCGGUUUUGAAUGAAGUUUUUCUUUGUUCUUUGUGCUUUUUGGCUACGUGCUUCUAGAAUCCUACAUGUUUAUACUUGAUUCUCCUUUUUAUCCAUUUUUUGCGAAAAAAAGGAAGUUUGAGUUUUACCUGUGGUUUUCUUGGUGGUUCCGAUCCGGAUCUUCAAGGAAAGCUUGAUUUUAGUCUUGUUCCGUUGAUUCUGGUUUGGUUCCCUGCUGUUCUGAUCCGCUCUUCUUCUUCACAGGUUCGGUAUAUGGAUUUUCGUCCCUCUUCUUCGUCUCCGGGAAAGCCUCUGCGAUCGUGCUUGAGUUCGCCGCUUUCAGUGGUGGACUCGCACUCGAAUUGCAGAGCAACGAUUCAAUGAUGAUGAUUCCUUGGCGAAUCUCUGAGAAUCGUGGAAAAUUCAAUGAAUUUCUUGAUGAUUUUGUGAUUCUGGUGAUUUAGGUUUUUUUGAUUUUUCUCUGUGUUCUUGAUGAUUUCUCUGUGAUUCUGGUUUUGAUCUAACUGACAAGAGAGAGAAAAAUUGAUUCUGUUUUUCUUCUUUGGUGAAGUGGCGUGUGAUUAAUGGCUUUGAAUCUGACUCACUGUUUAUAUAGUUGACAUGUGUACACUUGAGCCAAUGGAACUGUGACAUCUGGAUUUGUAUGGGAGGGGCACGGCCUUGGACUUAAAAUGGACUUUGGACCUUUUUGCAAAAAUAAGAAUUUUAAGGACUAAACUGCAAAAUUAAAAAAACUUGAAAUGAAAUAAACAAAAAAACAGUUUGGACAAAAAUGCAAUUUUGGGACCUCAAUUGAGGGACCAAAAUGCAAUUAAAAAUAAAAUUUGAAUAAAAAACAUAAUUUGACCAAACGUAAAGUGAAACAAAAAAUAAAAUUGACAAAACGGACUAAAACGAACCAAUGGCCUAAAUGAGGUACUUCAAAGUAACCUCCCCAUGCCAAAAUUUUAUGUGAAAUGACCAAAAUGCCCCUAGGGCUAAAAACGACCUAAACAGAUUGAAAUUGACUCAACACUGACUCAGACGCAAGUUUGAAAUGAAUUUUAACAAGGUUUACUGAUGAAAUGUAAAAAACAAUUCGAAAAGACUCAGAGACAGUCACAAGGAUGAAAAUGGGUCCCACUGCAGGAGAUGUCCAAAAUACCCUUCUGUAUGACUUUUUGCAAAUUUUGAAAUAAACUGUAGAAAAAGCAAUGCAAUGAUUCAGAGACACUUUUGAAUGACUUACAAGACAAGUAAAGACAUUUUGAAAGGUUUUAUGCAAGAAAAACAUAGGUAAAAUUGUGAUUGAAAAUACUGCGAGACAGAGACAAAUUGAACUGUGCAGUUGAAAUUUGAUAAUUGACAAAGUUUGAAAUGAAAUUGGGCCCAAUAUUUUUAGGUCCAAAAACAGGGUAUAACAACACUUUUCAUAAAUUUGAUUAAAACCUAAACCAGAUUUGUCAAAUUCUGCCAUUUGUGAACCUACAAUUUUUUGAAAUGUUUCUGUUGAUUUUAUAAAUUGUGAAAGAUCAUUUCUAAGUUCUUUGACUUCCUUUUUAAGAAUAAUAUUUUCAUUUUUAGAAUUUUCAGGAAGUUUUGUUUUUCCAAGAACUUUUAAUUUUUCAUUUACUUGAAAGUAAGAGUCUUGUAGACUUUGAAUGAUUUUCUUUUGAUCAUUAUUCAAAGUUCGAAGUUUCUCUUUUUCUUCUUUUAACUCAGAAAUUUCUUUUUGUAAAGAGUGACAUUUGUUUGUUAAAAAGUUUGAAUCAAAUAAAAGACUAUCAAAUUUAUUUUCUAACUCUUUAUAUACUAGAGGUUGGUUAAUAAGAAUUACCUCUUCGCUUUCUGAAUCUUCCAUUAGAACCAUGUUGGCUUCAGUGUCUUCAUCUUUUGAUUCUUCAAGAUCAUCCCAGGUAAACAUUGAUUUUGAGUAGGGAGAUUUCUUCUGACUCUUUUUGUUCAAUGGACAUUCGUUUUUGUAAUGUCCUAAUUUGUUGCAUCCAAAGCAAGUUACUUGACUUUUGUCAAUUUCUCCUUUUGAGUUAUCUUUCUUGUUGGGAAAGUAUUUCUUUAUUUGAUCUCUUCUUCUCAUCAUUCUUUGAAUCUUCUUUGUGAUGAGAGCUAGUUCGUCUUCUGCUUCCCCUUGGAUGUUUUCUUCUUCAUUGGCUUCUUCAGUUUCUUCGUUUUGUGGGAAGGCAUCUUUUUGUUCACUUUGAGAUGCUUUGAGAGCAACCAUCUUUCAUUUCCUUGAUGGUUUAUCAUCUUGAAGUAACGUCUCAUGAGCUUUUAAUGAUCCAAUGAGAUCUUCAAGAGCUAAGGAGUUUAAGUCUUUAGCUUGUGUGAUUGCAGUUACCAUGGGUCUCCAUGUGCUUGGAAGACAUCUUAAAAUUUUUCUUAUCCGAUCAUGAGUGGUAUAAGUUUUUCCCAGUGAUCUUAAUUCAUUCACAAUAGAUGUGAAUCUGGAGUACAUUUCAUCAAUGUUCUCAUCUUCGUUCAUUUCGAAGAUUUCAAAUUUUCUUACGCCAAUAUCUAUUCUUGUUUCUUUUACGUGGCUAGUUCCCUCAUGAUGAAUUUUUAGAGUGUCCCAAACUUCUUUUGCAGUGACACAUUCAUCAACUCUUUCACUUUCUUCCAUGCUUAGUGCGCAUGAUAGAAAGAGUCGAGCUUUGGAGUUUAGAAGUACUUUUUCUUUAUCUUCCUUUGACCAUGAUGCUUCUGGUGUGAGUGUAUCCACCUUUGUUGUUGCAUCAGUUGUCAUAGGUAUAUGUUCUCCAUUUGUGAUUAUUUUCCACAUAUCCACGUCUUGGGAUCUGAGGAAUAGUUUCAUUUUUCCUUUCCAGAAAUAAUAGUUCUUUCCAUUGAAGAAUGGUGGUCUUGUGCAUGAUAGACCUUCUGGUAUGUACUUUUCUUUUGACAUUGCCUUCUUCCUGAAUCUUUUCCUCCAACACUUGUUAGGUGUUUUUGUAGAGCCCGGGCUCUGAUACCAAUUAAAGUAGCAAUAAACGUCACAAGAAAGGGGGGUUUGAAUUGUGACCCUUUUAAAAAUUAUUCCUGAAACUUAAGUUUAGAUUUAUAUACUCAAGAAUAAUCUUGGUGUAUGUUAGCUUAACAAGAUUAGAGUAUAUAACAAUUAAUUGAAUUUAGAACAGAACAUUCUGAAGACUGAUUAUAAACAGAAUGAGAAAAAUGAUGUUAAGUUAAAAGAUUAUUUUAGCAAGGACCAGAAUGUUCUGGAGAUUAAUAAAAUAAUGUGUGUGUGUGUUGUGUAACUUUAAAUAAAGAGAGAGAUAGAGAUAGAGAGAGAGAGAGAGAGAGAAGAAUAACACAGGAGAGUUAUCCUGGUUCACCAAACCCGGCUACUUCCAGUCCCCACACCUCGUGUGAGAUUAUCCACUAUAGUUUUCUUGCUAACAGAAACUUCUGACUAGCACUACAAUAUCUUGAUCACACCAGAUCAGUCCGUAACCUCUGUAUUAUCAACCUCAGCAGGCUUAUACAAUUCUUUGCACACUAGCAAAAGAAAGGUUGGAAUUUUCUAUCUCAAAACUAUUAAGCCCAAUAGACUUUGAGAAAUACAACACUCUUUGUAUGAAGAGAUUUGUUUUGGAUCGAAUAAAUACUCAAAUCUUUGUUUGAGUUUUACAAGAGGCAAAUUCAAGAGAGAUGAUCCAAGAGAUAUAGUGAGAGAGCUUGGAAUUUGCUUUGUUUGUGAAGAGCUUUGUUUGUAGUGAUGAUUUUCACUUUGAGAGAUAUUAGCUUGCAAAACUCUUGCUUAUGACCUUCAAAGGCCCUUGUAUUUAUAGGUGAGGAGUGUCUUGGUACCAAGGGAGAAAAUAGAGCUGUUGGACACGUUUUUGAUAGCUGUCCAAAGUCUCAAUUGAUUUCUCUUUUCUUCUUUAAAAUAGCCAGAACGUUCUCAGAAUGUUCUUUCUGAUUUGCCUGACUUAGAAAGCACUGUUGCUUUGCUUGCGCAUGAGAUAACCAGCUGUGAUGAGCUGUAUAACUUGCAGCCCACUUCUGAUGAUGUCAUGUCCUUUUGCUCUAGUGAUGUCAUGCUUAAGUAAGCCAUGUGAUCUUAUCCAUUUAAUGGGCUUUACUUUUUCAAAUGGGCUUAAAGCUUUUCUUAUGGCCCAAUAGACAUAAUCAGCCAAGCUUUCUUGCUGUGCAGACUUGUUCGCUUUUGAUGUACUGUUCCAUUUUCAUCGUUUUCGCCAGAACGUUCUCAAUUCAUUCUCAUGAAACAAAUUCUCACAAAAACGAAUUAGUAGAUAACAAGAUUAAAUAAAUAUAAUAUGUUUGUAAUCUUUAAAACAUCAAAUAAGGAUUUUGUCUCAACAACUUUGUCCUCCGCACGAUUUAUUAGGAGCUUUGUCCUCCGCACGUUUAAAGUAUAUUAAUACUUAUGAUGACGAUUGGUACCACAUGCAUAUAAGGAGUCUAAGAGCAUUGUCGCAUUGUCGUGUCUAAGAUGCUAUGUUGUUGAUGAUGAUUGAAUAUGUGAUUACGUGAUAAUUGUUUAUCAAAUAUGCAAAGUUGUUUAAGAUUGAAUAUGAUGUUAAUGUUAAUUUAUGAUUCGAAUUACAUUGAUUAAUAUUAUUUUGUUAUGAAAUCUCACCCCUUCUGCUUGAAAAUGUUGCCCUUCGUAUGGGUAACUUGCAGGUGAUCGUGCUUAGUGUGCAGUUUGCCGUUGUGAGUGGCCUUGCCUCGCUGUGUCGUCUAGGUCGCUCUGAUACGUAACGGGAUGGGGUUUUAUGUUAUGCAUGCUUCAUUCUCUUACGUAACUAAUAUGUUAUUUUUAUAAUAUUAUCAAUUAUGAUUUGAAAUAUUUUGAUGGGGCCUGCGUGCCGAAACGUUUUAUGGAUUAUGAUAUAAUUUCCGCUGCAAUGUUUAAGUUAUUUGGUUAAAUUAUUAUUUAACUGUUUUGGAUUAUGUUAUAUGUGAUAUCCCGUUGUUUACGAUGCUUACUCUGAUAAAUGUUUUAAGAAAUUUUUAUAUUGGGAAAACGGAGUGUUACAGAAACUCCCCCUAUAAAUACCGCAUUCCUCAUUCACAAUUUCUCAUUCAUAACGAAGUGGUUCAAGAGGAAUGCAGUCACUAUGCAUCUAGGGAGGAUUCUCUCUCUUCACUCCAAAUUUUUCUAGAGUAUUUUUAUUUCUUUUAUAAUUUCUCUUUAGUUACCAUGGGUAACUAAAUCUUUUUAGGCUUGGGUUCUAAGAUUAACCUCUAUUCUGGUUGUUGGAUAAUUUAUGUAAAGUCUUUAUUUUAGUUAUUUAUCUUUAUGCUACUAGUUUUACUGUUGUUGCGUAAGAUUUGUCUACUAAAGCAUAAUCUACUUAGAAUAAUUGAACGUGAGUUAACUGUUAAUUAAUUCCAACAAAAUGAAUAGAGAUGAUUCAAAUUAUGUUCAAUAUUUAAGCUAACUGUGUCCUCUAUUUAAAUUAAUUGUUAUAUAUUAUAAACCUGAUAUAGCAUAGCCUAUAUAGGGCUCACAUGAAGCGAUCACAAUCGAUAAAACUAUAUUCUAUAGCUAACGGUUGAUCCUACAAUACGCUCAAUCAAUGCAAAAAUAUGUUGUCACCUAUUGGGUUCAUAUUUCUAUAAAUAACUUUGCCACGGCCAAACAGUAUUAUUUCUCUUUUGUGUUUUUUUCUUUUUAUAUCAUGAAAGGUCAAAAUAAUGGAUAUUUGUUAAAAUAAAAUAGCAUGAAUCCUUAUCAUUGAUGAGUUUUUUAUAUGACCUCCUUACUAAGCAUGAUAAAGAAACAAAUUGAACACAUUGAUGCAUUUAAGAGAUAUUUAAUAAUUAUUCUAAUUUUAAAAAGUAUCUAUAAUAUACAUAAAGAAAACUACCUCCUUUCAACACUUUUGGGUUGAAUUUUUCUUUCUAAAAAUGUCAUCAAUUUUCAAUACAAAUAAUACAUAUAAUAAAUAGACAAGAAUAAAUUUAAAUAUUAAAAAAACGUAACAAAUACGAUAUGAAUAUAUAUAUAUAUAUAUAUAUAUAUAUAUAUGUGUGUGUGUGUUUUUUUUUUCUUUAUCAUUUAAAAAGUGUAACAAACUAAAUGAGUAUAUUUAUAUUUAAUUUUUUCCAAUUACAUCUUUAAACAACUUUUUCUAUAAUAAAGAUUGUUGUUGGUGUUAUUGAAAUAAAUAAUCAUGUUUAAUUUGGUUUGUUAUACCUAGAAAGCAACAAAAAUUUAUAUUUUUAGUUUUAAUCAAAAUCAAAAUUUCAUAAAAAAAAAAAUAUAAUUCAUAAUUUUCAAAUUUUAACGCGGUAAAAAGAGUGAAAAUACGGGCACGUAAGUGCCCAUCUUUACGCUAAUUUUUAUAAUUGCAUAAGUGACUUUUUAGCUGAUGAAACGAUAUCAUAAUCUUUAUAAAUUGUAAAACCACAUUCUAUUUGUUAUAUGCAAAAGGCGAGAAAUAUGGCUAAACUUGUCAAGCUUGUUUAUGUUAUAAUUGUGUUUUAUACCCUAUUUCUUGUUGCAACGGAAAUUGUUUGUGAGCUAAUUUUUCAUACUCUUGAAAUUUCCUUUUAUUUCUUUUUAUCUCGUUUUAGUAACAUUAUUUUGUUCUUUUUCCUUCAAUACAGCGGGUAUUCCUUGUAACGAUGAUGUUGAUUGUCCACAGACUCUGUGUGAACAGUUAAUUGCCGACUUCAAGUAUAUGAUAGAUUUUAAGUCGGAGUGUGUUUCCCGUAUGUGUGCAUGUACCGGAAGUCCCGUUUAAGCUGCACUGGUGGUUGGUUUUGGUUCAAAAUGGAACAAUGAAAAAUACCUUUAAUAUUGGGUUGCUUAUAUAUUUUCACCAUAGAUGUGGAAAUCAUAAUAGGCUAUUAAUAAAAUUAUAAAUUAUACAUGUGGCCUUUAAAUAUCUUUUCUACGUACCCUUGUUAUUAAUUAAUUACUAAAAUCAAAAGAAAUUUCCUUCUCAAUUACAUGUCGUUGAGUUUUCCACCUAGAUAUGUGUUGUAUUUUUUUAUCUUAUUAAAAUAACAUAAAAUCUUAUUUACUCUCAAUCAAAAUCAAUCUAGAAUAUAAGGGUGUCUCUAUGUACUUCUCUAGGUGUGUGUUUAAUUGUUUUUUUUGUUGCAUAUAUGCAAAUAUCAAGUCAUAAAAACAUGUUUUACCUUAAUAAACACAACCAGGUGUUACUAAAAAAAUAUAAUCAUAAAAACCUAUAAUGAAAUAUAGAUAUACAAAUCAAGGAUAGAGGGAAAAGAAAUAUCUUCAAAUAAUAGAUGGAAAAUAGUGUUUUAUUUCUUUCUUCAUUACGAGAACUACGAUCUUUGGCUCUGGAACUGAAUCAUUUCCUUGUAUCUGAGAAAGACUUCCAGAUUCAAAGGAAGGAAGUUUAAUUGGACUGAAUCAGAAAUUUUAUUCUAUGAUUGAUCAGUAUAAACAUCAACACCUUCGAAUUGGAUCAGUUUCUCCUGAACAAAUAAGUGCUUGGGCAAAAAAAAUCCUACCUAAUGGAGAAAUUGUUGGAGAGGUAACAAAACCCUAUACUCUUCAUUACAAAACCAAUAAGCCUGAAAAAGAUGGAUUAUUUUGUGAACGAAUUUUUGGGCCUAUAAAAAGUGGGAUUUGUGCUUGUGGAAAUUAUCGAGUAAUCGGAGAUAAAAAAGACCAACCCAAAUUUUGUGAACAAUGCGGAGUAGAAUUUGUUGAUUCUCGGGUACGUAGGUAUCAAAUGGGGUAUAUAAAACUAGCAUGUCCAGUAACCCAUGUAUGGUAUUUGAAACGUCUUCCUAGUUAUAUUGCGAGCCUUUUAGAUAAACCUCUUAAAGAAUUAGAAGGUCUAGUAUACUGCGAUGUGUGAUUUGAUAAAAAUUCUUAUUGUACAGAUUUCAAAUGAGAAACUGUCAUUCCAUUCAAUUAAAUUGGAAUGUCCUCUAUCUGGCAUGUCUCUUGGGAUGAGUAACAUGAAGCUCAGAAUUCAUGGGUGUAUUGAAUACUCCCAAAUCAAUAAGGGAAUUGGUCUAUGGUCAAUUCAGUAACAAAUAAAUAUUUAUUUAUAACCGUACGUACCUUGUGAAAAAAAAAAAAUUAUUUUUUUGUGGAAUUAAUUAUUUCAUCUCUUUUUUUUUUAAGAACUUAAAUUAAGUUCAAAGAAUAAAAUAUAAUAUAUCAUGAUUGCCGAAGUCUAUCUAUCGCAUAUAGGCUUAAAGACAUCGUGGCAUAACCGUCGAGGUGACGUCUUGACCUAAAAGAUCAAAUGGUAUGAUACAUAGACAAAGAAAUCUCUUAUGAAUUCGAGGAUAUUCCUUUUUUUUAUUAAAAAGUAUAUUUUAAAGGAUUCUUCGUUCGAAGGGAGGUAGACUACUCAAGAAUUUUACAUUGAAUUUCUGUCGUAAUUUCGAAUUGCAUAAAGAAUUCAGAAACAAAGAAGAAUGUAUCAAUGAAAUGUUGCUUCGUCUGUAUUGAUAACUUGAGUAAAGAGUAAACCUUUUUUAUUUUAGAUUUAGAGGUUUUCAAAAAUUUGAAAACGGAAACCACUUUCUUUAUCUUUAUUGUGUGUAAAUACUUUAGCCGGAUGAGAGGAAACCCUCACGUCCGAUUUUCAAAGGGGGAGAUCCAUCUUAUUGGAUCCUAUCCAAAUUUUUCGUUUGCUAGGCCCGUAGUUAAAAAACCUACUUUCUUACGAUUACGAGGUUCAUUCGAAUACGAAAUCCAAUCUUGGAAAUACAGUAUCCCACUCUUUUUUGCUACUCAAGGUUUCGAUACAUUUCGAAAUAGAGAAAUUUCUAGUGGAGCAGGUGCUAUACGAGAACAAUUAGUUGAUUUGGAUUUAAGAAUUAUUAUGGAUUCUUCGUUGGUAGAAUGGAAAGAAUUAGGAGAAGAGGGAUCCGCCGACAAUGAAAAUGAAAAUGAAUGGGAAGAUCGAAAAGUAGGAAGAAGAAAGAAUUUUUUGGUUCGACGCAUGGAAUUAGUUAAGCACUUUAUCCGAACAAAUAUAGAACCAGAAUGGAUGGUUUUAUCUCUCUUACCAGUUCUUCCUCCCGAAUUGAGACCAAUUAUUCAAAUAGAUGGAGGGAAACUAAUGAGUUCGGAUAUUAAUGAACUCUAUAGAAGAGUUAUCUAUCGGAACAAUACUCUUAUUGACCUAUUAACAACAAGUAGAUCUACACCAGGGGAAUUAGUAAUGUGUCAAGAAAAAUUGGUACAAGAAGCCGUGGAUACACUCCUUGAUAAUGGAAUCCGCGGACAACCAAUGAGGGACGGUCAUAAUAAAGUUUACAAAUCGUUUUCAGAUAUAAUUGAGGGCAAAGAGGGAAGAUUUCGAGAGACUCUGCUUGGAAAACGAGUUGAUUAUUCGGGGCGUUCUGUUAUUGUCGUAGGUCCAUCACUUUCAUUACAUCGAUGUGGAUUGCCCCGCGAAAUAGCAAUAGAGCUAUUUCAGACAUUUCUAAUUCGUGGUUUAAUUCGAAAACAUUUUGCUUCGAACAUAGGAGUUGCUAAGAGUAAAAUACGGGAAAAAGAACCGAUUGUAUGGGAAAUACUUCAAGAAGUUAUGCGGGGGCAUCCAGUAUUGCUGAAUAGAGCGCCUACUUUGCAUAGAUUGGGCAUACAGGCAUUUCAACCUAUUUUAGUAGAAGGACGUGCUAUUUGUUUACAUCCAUUAGUGUGUAAGGGAUUCAAUGCAGACUUUGAUGGGGAUCAAAUGGCUGUUCAUGUGCCUUUAUCUUUGGAGGCUCAAGCAGAAGCUCGUUUACUUAUGUUUUCUCAUACAAACCUCUUGUCUCCGGCUAUUGGGGAUCCCAUUUCCGUACCAACUCAAGAUAUGCUUAUAGGACUUUACGUAUUAACUAGCGGAAAUCGUCGAGGUAUUUGUGCAAACAGGUAUAAUCCGUUUAAUUGCCGAAAUUCUAAAAAUGAAAAAAUUAGCAAUAAUAACUCUAAGUAUAUGAAAAAAAAAGAACCCUUUUUUUGCAAUUCCUAUGAUGCAAUUGGAGCUUAUCGACAGAAAAGAAUAAAUUUAGAUAGUCCUUUUUGGCUCCGGUGGCGAAUAGAUCAAUGCAUUAUGUCUUCAAGAGAAGUUCCUAUCGAAGUUCACUAUGAAUCUUUUGGUACCUAUUAUGAAAUUUAUGGGCAUUAUUUAGUAAUAAGAAGUAUAAAAAAAGAAAUUCGUUGUAUAUACAUUAGAACCACUGUUGGUCAUAUUUCUUUUUAUCGAGAAAUUGAAGAAGCUAUACAAGGUUUUUCUCGAGCCUAUUCAUAUGGUAUCUAAUCAUAUAGAUGGUUAGUGUUGAUAUCCAAGCUAGGUAAAUUUAUGUUAUGAUACUGGCGUAAAUUCAGGUCAACUAGCAUCUUUUCUAUUUUCUACGUGAAUAAACAUAAAGAAAAGGAAGUUUUCCAAUCAUUCACUCAAAUUCAUUGUCGAACCGAAUCCCACUGAGUGGAAUAUGGAGGUACUUAUGGCAGAACGGGCCAAUCUAGUCUUUCACUUUCUUCCAUGCUUAGUGCGCAUGAUAGAAAGAGUCGAGCUUUGGAGUUUAGAAGUACUUUUUCUUUAUCUUCCUUUGACCAUGAUGCUUCUGGUGUGAGUGUAUCCACCUUUGUUGUUGCAUCAGUUGUCAUAGGUAUAUGUUCUCCAUUUGUGAUUAUUUUCCACAUAUCCACGUCUUGGGAUCUGAGGAAUAGUUUCAUUUUUCCUUUCCAGAAAUAAUAGUUCUUUCCAUUGAAGAAUGGUGGUCUUGUGCAUGAUAGACCUUCUGGUAUGUACUUUUCUUUUGACAUUGCCUUCUUCCUGAAUCUUUUCCUCCAACACUUGUUAGGUGUUUUUGUAGAGCCCGGGCUCUGAUACCAAUUAAAGUAGCAAUAAACGUCACAAGAAAGGGGGGGUUUGAAUUGUGACCCUUUUAAAAAUUAUUCCUGAAACUUAAGUUUAGAUUUAUAUACUCAAGAAUAAUCUUGGUGUAUGUUAGCUUAACAAGAUUAGAGUAUAUAACAAUUAAUUGAAUUUAGAACAGAACAUUCUGAAGACUGAUUAUAAACAGAAUGAGAAAAAUGAUGUUAAGUUAAAAGAUUAUUUUAGCAAGGACCAGAAUGUUCUGGAGAUUAAUAAAAUAAUGUGUGUGUGUGUUGUGUAACUUUAAAUAAAGAGAGAGAUAGAGAUAGAGAGAGAGAGAGAGAAGAAUAACACAGGAGAGUUAUCCUGGUUCACCAAACCCGGCUACUUCCAGUCCCCACACCUCGUGUGAGAUUAUCCACUAUAGUUUUCUUGCUAACAGAAACUUCUGACUAGCACUACAAUAUCUUGAUCACACCAGAUCAGUCCGUAACCUCUGUAUUAUCAACCUCAGCAGGCUUAUACAAUUCUUUGCACACUAGCAAAAGAAAGGUUGGAAUUUUCUAUCUCAAAACUAUUAAGCCCAAUAGACUUUGAGAAAUACAACACUCUUUGUAUGAAGAGAUUUGUUUUGGAUCGAAUAAAUACUCAAAUCUUUGUUUGAGUUUUACAAGAGGCAAAUUCAAGAGAGAUGAUCCAAGAGAUAUAGUGAGAGAGCUUGGAAUUUGCUUUGUUUGUGAAGAGCUUUGUUUGUAGUGAUGAUUUUCACUUUGAGAGAUAUUAGCUUGCAAAACUCUUGCUUAUGACCUUCAAAGGCCCUUGUAUUUAUAGGUGAGGAGUGUCUUGGUACCAAGGGAGAAAAUAGAGCUGUUGGACACGUUUUUGAUAGCUGUCCAAAGUCUCAAUUGAUUUCUCUUUUCUUCUUUAAAAUAGCCAGAACGUUCUCAGAAUGUUCUUUCUGAUUUGCCUGACUUAGAAAGCACUGUUGCUUUGCUUGCGCAUGAGAUAACCAGCUGUGAUGAGCUGUAUAACUUGCAGCCCACUUCUGAUGAUGUCAUGUCCUUUUGCUCUAGUGAUGUCAUGCUUAAGUAAGCCAUGUGAUCUUAUCCAUUUAAUGGGCUUUACUUUUUCAAAUGGGCUUAAAGCUUUUCUUAUGGCCCAAUAGACAUAAUCAGCCAAGCUUUCUUGCUGUGCAGACUUGUUCGCUUUUGAUGUACUGUUCCAUUUUCAUCGUUUUCGCCAGAACGUUCUCAAUUCAUUCUCAUGAAACAAAUUCUCACAAAAACGAAUUAGUAGAUAACAAGAUUAAAUAAAUAUAAUAUGUUUGUAAUCUUUAAAACAUCAAAUAAGGAUUUUGUCUCAACAACUUUGUCCUCCGCACGAUUUAUUAGGAGCUUUGUCCUCCGCACGUUUAAAGUAUAUUAAUACUUAUGAUGACGAUUGGUACCACAUGCAUAUAAGGAGUCUAAGAGCAUUGUCGCAUUGUCGUGUCUAAGAUGCUAUGUUGUUGAUGAUGAUUGAAUAUGUGAUUACGUGAUAAUUGUUUAUCAAAUAUGCAAAGUUGUUUAAGAUUGAAUAUGAUGUUAAUGUUAAUUUAUGAUUCGAAUUACAUUGAUUAAUAUUAUUUUGUUAUGAAAUCUCACCCCUUCUGCUUGAAAAUGUUGCCCUUCGUAUGGGUAACUUGCAGGUGAUCGUGCUUAGUGUGCAGUUUGCCGUUGUGAGUGGCCUUGCCUCGCUGUGUCGUCUAGGUCGCUCUGAUACGUAACGGGAUGGGGUUUUAUGUUAUGCAUGCUUCAUUCUCUUACGUAACUAAUAUGUUAUUUUUAUAAUAUUAUCAAUUAUGAUUUGAAAUAUUUUGAUGGGGCCUGCGUGCCGAAACGUUUUAUGGAUUAUGAUAUAAUUUCCGCUGCAAUGUUUAAGUUAUUUGGUUAAAUUAUUAUUUAACUGUUUUGGAUUAUGUUAUAUGUGAUAUCCCGUUGUUUACGAUGCUUACUCUGAUAAAUGUUUUAAGAAAUUUUUAUAUUGGGAAAACGGAGUGUUACAGAAACUCCCCCUAUAAAUACCGCAUUCCUCAUUCACAAUUUCUCAUUCAUAACGAAGUGGUUCAAGAGGAAUGCAGUCACUAUGCAUCUAGGGAGGAUUCUCUCUCUUCACUCCAAAUUUUUCUAGAGUAUUUUUAUUUCUUUUAUAAUUUCUCUUUAGUUACCAUGGGUAACUAAAUCUUUUUAGGCUUGGGUUCUAAGAUUAACCUCUAUUCUGGUUGUUGGAUAAUUUAUGUAAAGUCUUUAUUUUAGUUAUUUAUCUUUAUGCUACUAGUUUUACUGUUGUUGCGUAAGAUUUGUCUACUAAAGCAUAAUCUACUUAGAAUAAUUGAACGUGAGUUAACUGUUAAUUAAUUCCAACAAAAUGAAUAGAGAUGAUUCAAAUUAUGUUCAAUAUUUAAGCUAACUGUGUCCUCUAUUUAAAUUAAUUGUUAUAUAUUAUAAACCUGAUAUAGCAUAGCCUAUAUAGGGCUCACAUGAAGCGAUCACAAUCGAUAAAACUAUAUUCUAUAGCUAACGGUUGAUCCUACAAUACGCUCAAUCAAUGCAAAAAUAUGUUGUCACCUAUUGGGUUCAUAUUUCUAUAAAUAACUUUGCCACGGCCAAACAGUAUUAUUUCUCUUUUGUGUUUUUUUCUUUUUAUAUCAUGAAAGGUCAAAAUAAUGGAUAUUUGUUAAAAUAAAAUAGCAUGAAUCCUUAUCAUUGAUGAGUUUUUUAUAUGACCUCCUUACUAAGCAUGAUAAAGAAACAAAUUGAACACAUUGAUGCAUUUAAGAGAUAUUUAAUAAUUAUUCUAAUUUUAAAAAGUAUCUAUAAUAUACAUAAAGAAAACUACCUCCUUUCAACACUUUUGGGUUGAAUUUUUCUUUCUAAAAAUGUCAUCAAUUUUCAAUACAAAUAAUACAUAUAAUAAAUAGACAAGAAUAAAUUUAAAUAUUAAAAAAACGUAACAAAUACGAUAUGAAUAUAUAUAUAUAUAUAUAUAUAUAUAUAUAUAUAUGUGUGUGUGUGUUUUUUUUUUCUUUAUCAUUUAAAAAGUGUAACAAACUAAAUGAGUAUAUUUAUAUUUAAUUUUUUCCAAUUACAUCUUUAAACAACUUUUUCUAUAAUAAAGAUUGUUGUUGGUGUUAUUGAAAUAAAUAAUCAUGUUUAAUUUGGUUUGUUAUACCUAGAAAGCAACAAAAAUUUAUAUUUUUAGUUUUAAUCAAAAUCAAAAUUUCAUAAAAAAAAAAAUAUAAUUCAUAAUUUUCAAAUUUUAACGCGGUAAAAAGAGUGAAAAUACGGGCACGUAAGUGCCCAUCUUUACGCUAAUUUUUAUAAUUGCAUAAGUGACUUUUUAGCUGAUGAAACGAUAUCAUAAUCUUUAUAAAUUGUAAAACCACAUUCUAUUUGUUAUAUGCAAAAGGCGAGAAAUAUGGCUAAACUUGUCAAGCUUGUUUAUGUUAUAAUUGUGUUUUAUACCCUAUUUCUUGUUGCAACGGAAAUUGUUUGUGAGCUAAUUUUUCAUACUCUUGAAAUUUCCUUUUAUUUCUUUUUAUCUCGUUUUAGUAACAUUAUUUUGUUCUUUUUCCUUCAAUACAGCGGGUAUUCCUUGUAACGAUGAUGUUGAUUGUCCACAGACUCUGUGUGAACAGUUAAUUGCCGACUUCAAGUAUAUGAUAGAUUUUAAGUCGGAGUGUGUUUCCCGUAUGUGUGCAUGUACCGGAAGUCCCGUUUAAGCUGCACUGGUGGUUGGUUUUGGUUCAAAAUGGAACAAUGAAAAAUACCUUUAAUAUUGGGUUGCUUAUAUAUUUUCACCAUAGAUGUGGAAAUCAUAAUAGGCUAUUAAUAAAAUUAUAAAUUAUACAUGUGGCCUUUAAAUAUCUUUUCUACGUACCCUUGUUAUUAAUUAAUUACUAAAAUCAAAAGAAAUUUCCUUCUCAAUUACAUGUCGUUGAGUUUUCCACCUAGAUAUGUGUUGUAUUUUUUUAUCUUAUUAAAAUAACAUAAAAUCUUAUUUACUCUCAAUCAAAAUCAAUCUAGAAUAUAAGGGUGUCUCUAUGUACUUCUCUAGGUGUGUGUUUAAUUGUUUUUUUUGUUGCAUAUAUGCAAAUAUCAAGUCAUAAAAACAUGUUUUACCUUAAUAAACACAACCAGGUGUUACUAAAAAAAUAUAAUCAUAAAAACCUAUAAUGAAAUAUAGAUAUACAAAUCAAGGAUAGAGGGAAAAGAAAUAUCUUCAAAUAAUAGAUGGAAAAUAGUGUUUUAUUUCUUUCUUCAUUACGAGAACUACGAUCUUUGGCUCUGGAACUGAAUCAUUUCCUUGUAUCUGAGAAAGACUUCCAGAUUCAAAGGAAGGAAGUUUAAUUGGACUGAAUCAGAAAUUUUAUUCUAUGAUUGAUCAGUAUAAACAUCAACACCUUCGAAUUGGAUCAGUUUCUCCUGAACAAAUAAGUGCUUGGGCAAAAAAAAUCCUACCUAAUGGAGAAAUUGUUGGAGAGGUAACAAAACCCUAUACUCUUCAUUACAAAACCAAUAAGCCUGAAAAAGAUGGAUUAUUUUGUGAACGAAUUUUUGGGCCUAUAAAAAGUGGGAUUUGUGCUUGUGGAAAUUAUCGAGUAAUCGGAGAUAAAAAAGACCAACCCAAAUUUUGUGAACAAUGCGGAGUAGAAUUUGUUGAUUCUCGGGUACGUAGGUAUCAAAUGGGGUAUAUAAAACUAGCAUGUCCAGUAACCCAUGUAUGGUAUUUGAAACGUCUUCCUAGUUAUAUUGCGAGCCUUUUAGAUAAACCUCUUAAAGAAUUAGAAGGUCUAGUAUACUGCGAUGUGUGAUUUGAUAAAAAUUCUUAUUGUACAGAUUUCAAAUGAGAAACUGUCAUUCCAUUCAAUUAAAUUGGAAUGUCCUCUAUCUGGCAUGUCUCUUGGGAUGAGUAACAUGAAGCUCAGAAUUCAUGGGUGUAUUGAAUACUCCCAAAUCAAUAAGGGAAUUGGUCUAUGGUCAAUUCAGUAACAAAUAAAUAUUUAUUUAUAACCGUACGUACCUUGUGAAAAAAAAAAAAUUAUUUUUUUGUGGAAUUAAUUAUUUCAUCUCUUUUUUUUUUAAGAACUUAAAUUAAGUUCAAAGAAUAAAAUAUAAUAUAUCAUGAUUGCCGAAGUCUAUCUAUCGCAUAUAGGCUUAAAGACAUCGUGGCAUAACCGUCGAGGUGACGUCUUGACCUAAAAGAUCAAAUGGUAUGAUACAUAGACAAAGAAAUCUCUUAUGAAUUCGAGGAUAUUCCUUUUUUUUAUUAAAAAGUAUAUUUUAAAGGAUUCUUCGUUCGAAGGGAGGUAGACUACUCAAGAAUUUUACAUUGAAUUUCUGUCGUAAUUUCGAAUUGCAUAAAGAAUUCAGAAACAAAGAAGAAUGUAUCAAUGAAAUGUUGCUUCGUCUGUAUUGAUAACUUGAGUAAAGAGUAAACCUUUUUUAUUUUAGAUUUAGAGGUUUUCAAAAAUUUGAAAACGGAAACCACUUUCUUUAUCUUUAUUGUGUGUAAAUACUUUAGCCGGAUGAGAGGAAACCCUCACGUCCGAUUUUCAAAGGGGGAGAUCCAUCUUAUUGGAUCCUAUCCAAAUUUUUCGUUUGCUAGGCCCGUAGUUAAAAAACCUACUUUCUUACGAUUACGAGGUUCAUUCGAAUACGAAAUCCAAUCUUGGAAAUACAGUAUCCCACUCUUUUUUGCUACUCAAGGUUUCGAUACAUUUCGAAAUAGAGAAAUUUCUAGUGGAGCAGGUGCUAUACGAGAACAAUUAGUUGAUUUGGAUUUAAGAAUUAUUAUGGAUUCUUCGUUGGUAGAAUGGAAAGAAUUAGGAGAAGAGGGAUCCGCCGACAAUGAAAAUGAAAAUGAAUGGGAAGAUCGAAAAGUAGGAAGAAGAAAGAAUUUUUUGGUUCGACGCAUGGAAUUAGUUAAGCACUUUAUCCGAACAAAUAUAGAACCAGAAUGGAUGGUUUUAUCUCUCUUACCAGUUCUUCCUCCCGAAUUGAGACCAAUUAUUCAAAUAGAUGGAGGGAAACUAAUGAGUUCGGAUAUUAAUGAACUCUAUAGAAGAGUUAUCUAUCGGAACAAUACUCUUAUUGACCUAUUAACAACAAGUAGAUCUACACCAGGGGAAUUAGUAAUGUGUCAAGAAAAAUUGGUACAAGAAGCCGUGGAUACACUCCUUGAUAAUGGAAUCCGCGGACAACCAAUGAGGGACGGUCAUAAUAAAGUUUACAAAUCGUUUUCAGAUAUAAUUGAGGGCAAAGAGGGAAGAUUUCGAGAGACUCUGCUUGGAAAACGAGUUGAUUAUUCGGGGCGUUCUGUUAUUGUCGUAGGUCCAUCACUUUCAUUACAUCGAUGUGGAUUGCCCCGCGAAAUAGCAAUAGAGCUAUUUCAGACAUUUCUAAUUCGUGGUUUAAUUCGAAAACAUUUUGCUUCGAACAUAGGAGUUGCUAAGAGUAAAAUACGGGAAAAAGAACCGAUUGUAUGGGAAAUACUUCAAGAAGUUAUGCGGGGGCAUCCAGUAUUGCUGAAUAGAGCGCCUACUUUGCAUAGAUUGGGCAUACAGGCAUUUCAACCUAUUUUAGUAGAAGGACGUGCUAUUUGUUUACAUCCAUUAGUGUGUAAGGGAUUCAAUGCAGACUUUGAUGGGGAUCAAAUGGCUGUUCAUGUGCCUUUAUCUUUGGAGGCUCAAGCAGAAGCUCGUUUACUUAUGUUUUCUCAUACAAACCUCUUGUCUCCGGCUAUUGGGGAUCCCAUUUCCGUACCAACUCAAGAUAUGCUUAUAGGACUUUACGUAUUAACUAGCGGAAAUCGUCGAGGUAUUUGUGCAAACAGGUAUAAUCCGUUUAAUUGCCGAAAUUCUAAAAAUGAAAAAAUUAGCAAUAAUAACUCUAAGUAUAUGAAAAAAAAAGAACCCUUUUUUUGCAAUUCCUAUGAUGCAAUUGGAGCUUAUCGACAGAAAAGAAUAAAUUUAGAUAGUCCUUUUUGGCUCCGGUGGCGAAUAGAUCAAUGCAUUAUGUCUUCAAGAGAAGUUCCUAUCGAAGUUCACUAUGAAUCUUUUGGUACCUAUUAUGAAAUUUAUGGGCAUUAUUUAGUAAUAAGAAGUAUAAAAAAAGAAAUUCGUUGUAUAUACAUUAGAACCACUGUUGGUCAUAUUUCUUUUUAUCGAGAAAUUGAAGAAGCUAUACAAGGUUUUUCUCGAGCCUAUUCAUAUGGUAUCUAAUCAUAUAGAUGGUUAGUGUUGAUAUCCAAGCUAGGUAAAUUUAUGUUAUGAUACUGGCGUAAAUUCAGGUCAACUAGCAUCUUUUCUAUUUUCUACGUGAAUAAACAUAAAGAAAAGGAAGUUUUCCAAUCAUUCACUCAAAUUCAUUGUCGAACCGAAUCCCACUGAGUGGAAUAUGGAGGUACUUAUGGCAGAACGGGCCAAUCUAGUCUUUCACUUUCUUCCAUGCUUAGUGCGCAUGAUAGAAAGAGUCGAGCUUUGGAGUUUAGAAGUACUUUUUCUUUAUCUUCCUUUGACCAUGAUGCUUCUGGUGUGAGUGUAUCCACCUUUGUUGUUGCAUCAGUUGUCAUAGGUAUAUGUUCUCCAUUUGUGAUUAUUUUCCACAUAUCCACGUCUUGGGAUCUGAGGAAUAGUUUCAUUUUUCCUUUCCAGAAAUAAUAGUUCUUUCCAUUGAAGAAUGGUGGUCUUGUGCAUGAUAGACCUUCUGGUAUGUACUUUUCUUUUGACAUUGCCUUCUUCCUGAAUCUUUUCCUCCAACACUUGUUAGGUGUUUUUGUAGAGCCCGGGCUCUGAUACCAAUUAAAGUAGCAAUAAACGUCACAAGAAAGGGGGGGUUUGAAUUGUGACCCUUUUAAAAAUUAUUCCUGAAACUUAAGUUUAGAUUUAUAUACUCAAGAAUAAUCUUGGUGUAUGUUAGCUUAACAAGAUUAGAGUAUAUAACAAUUAAUUGAAUUUAGAACAGAACAUUCUGAAGACUGAUUAUAAACAGAAUGAGAAAAAUGAUGUUAAGUUAAAAGAUUAUUUUAGCAAGGACCAGAAUGUUCUGGAGAUUAAUAAAAUAAUGUGUGUGUGUGUUGUGUAACUUUAAAUAAAGAGAGAGAUAGAGAUAGAGAGAGAGAGAGAGAAGAAUAACACAGGAGAGUUAUCCUGGUUCACCAAACCCGGCUACUUCCAGUCCCCACACCUCGUGUGAGAUUAUCCACUAUAGUUUUCUUGCUAACAGAAACUUCUGACUAGCACUACAAUAUCUUGAUCACACCAGAUCAGUCCGUAACCUCUGUAUUAUCAACCUCAGCAGGCUUAUACAAUUCUUUGCACACUAGCAAAAGAAAGGUUGGAAUUUUCUAUCUCAAAACUAUUAAGCCCAAUAGACUUUGAGAAAUACAACACUCUUUGUAUGAAGAGAUUUGUUUUGGAUCGAAUAAAUACUCAAAUCUUUGUUUGAGUUUUACAAGAGGCAAAUUCAAGAGAGAUGAUCCAAGAGAUAUAGUGAGAGAGCUUGGAAUUUGCUUUGUUUGUGAAGAGCUUUGUUUGUAGUGAUGAUUUUCACUUUGAGAGAUAUUAGCUUGCAAAACUCUUGCUUAUGACCUUCAAAGGCCCUUGUAUUUAUAGGUGAGGAGUGUCUUGGUACCAAGGGAGAAAAUAGAGCUGUUGGACACGUUUUUGAUAGCUGUCCAAAGUCUCAAUUGAUUUCUCUUUUCUUCUUUAAAAUAGCCAGAACGUUCUCAGAAUGUUCUUUCUGAUUUGCCUGACUUAGAAAGCACUGUUGCUUUGCUUGCGCAUGAGAUAACCAGCUGUGAUGAGCUGUAUAACUUGCAGCCCACUUCUGAUGAUGUCAUGUCCUUUUGCUCUAGUGAUGUCAUGCUUAAGUAAGCCAUGUGAUCUUAUCCAUUUAAUGGGCUUUACUUUUUCAAAUGGGCUUAAAGCUUUUCUUAUGGCCCAAUAGACAUAAUCAGCCAAGCUUUCUUGCUGUGCAGACUUGUUCGCUUUUGAUGUACUGUUCCAUUUUCAUCGUUUUCGCCAGAACGUUCUCAAUUCAUUCUCAUGAAACAAAUUCUCACAAAAACGAAUUAGUAGAUAACAAGAUUAAAUAAAUAUAAUAUGUUUGUAAUCUUUAAAACAUCAAAUAAGGAUUUUGUCUCAACAACUUUGUCCUCCGCACGAUUUAUUAGGAGCUUUGUCCUCCGCACGUUUAAAGUAUAUUAAUACUUAUGAUGACGAUUGGUACCACAUGCAUAUAAGGAGUCUAAGAGCAUUGUCGCAUUGUCGUGUCUAAGAUGCUAUGUUGUUGAUGAUGAUUGAAUAUGUGAUUACGUGAUAAUUGUUUAUCAAAUAUGCAAAGUUGUUUAAGAUUGAAUAUGAUGUUAAUGUUAAUUUAUGAUUCGAAUUACAUUGAUUAAUAUUAUUUUGUUAUGAAAUCUCACCCCUUCUGCUUGAAAAUGUUGCCCUUCGUAUGGGUAACUUGCAGGUGAUCGUGCUUAGUGUGCAGUUUGCCGUUGUGAGUGGCCUUGCCUCGCUGUGUCGUCUAGGUCGCUCUGAUACGUAACGGGAUGGGGUUUUAUGUUAUGCAUGCUUCAUUCUCUUACGUAACUAAUAUGUUAUUUUUAUAAUAUUAUCAAUUAUGAUUUGAAAUAUUUUGAUGGGGCCUGCGUGCCGAAACGUUUUAUGGAUUAUGAUAUAAUUUCCGCUGCAAUGUUUAAGUUAUUUGGUUAAAUUAUUAUUUAACUGUUUUGGAUUAUGUUAUAUGUGAUAUCCCGUUGUUUACGAUGCUUACUCUGAUAAAUGUUUUAAGAAAUUUUUAUAUUGGGAAAACGGAGUGUUACAGAAACUCCCCCUAUAAAUACCGCAUUCCUCAUUCACAAUUUCUCAUUCAUAACGAAGUGGUUCAAGAGGAAUGCAGUCACUAUGCAUCUAGGGAGGAUUCUCUCUCUUCACUCCAAAUUUUUCUAGAGUAUUUUUAUUUCUUUUAUAAUUUCUCUUUAGUUACCAUGGGUAACUAAAUCUUUUUAGGCUUGGGUUCUAAGAUUAACCUCUAUUCUGGUUGUUGGAUAAUUUAUGUAAAGUCUUUAUUUUAGUUAUUUAUCUUUAUGCUACUAGUUUUACUGUUGUUGCGUAAGAUUUGUCUACUAAAGCAUAAUCUACUUAGAAUAAUUGAACGUGAGUUAACUGUUAAUUAAUUCCAACAAAAUGAAUAGAGAUGAUUCAAAUUAUGUUCAAUAUUUAAGCUAACUGUGUCCUCUAUUUAAAUUAAUUGUUAUAUAUUAUAAACCUGAUAUAGCAUAGCCUAUAUAGGGCUCACAUGAAGCGAUCACAAUCGAUAAAACUAUAUUCUAUAGCUAACGGUUGAUCCUACAAUACGCUCAAUCAAUGCAAAAAUAUGUUGUCACCUAUUGGGUUCAUAUUUCUAUAAAUAACUUUGCCACGGCCAAACAGUAUUAUUUCUCUUUUGUGUUUUUUUCUUUUUAUAUCAUGAAAGGUCAAAAUAAUGGAUAUUUGUUAAAAUAAAAUAGCAUGAAUCCUUAUCAUUGAUGAGUUUUUUAUAUGACCUCCUUACUAAGCAUGAUAAAGAAACAAAUUGAACACAUUGAUGCAUUUAAGAGAUAUUUAAUAAUUAUUCUAAUUUUAAAAAGUAUCUAUAAUAUACAUAAAGAAAACUACCUCCUUUCAACACUUUUGGGUUGAAUUUUUCUUUCUAAAAAUGUCAUCAAUUUUCAAUACAAAUAAUACAUAUAAUAAAUAGACAAGAAUAAAUUUAAAUAUUAAAAAAACGUAACAAAUACGAUAUGAAUAUAUAUAUAUAUAUAUAUAUAUAUAUAUAUGUGUGUGUGUGUUUUUUUUUUCUUUAUCAUUUAAAAAGUGUAACAAACUAAAUGAGUAUAUUUAUAUUUAAUUUUUUCCAAUUACAUCUUUAAACAACUUUUUCUAUAAUAAAGAUUGUUGUUGGUGUUAUUGAAAUAAAUAAUCAUGUUUAAUUUGGUUUGUUAUACCUAGAAAGCAACAAAAAUUUAUAUUUUUAGUUUUAAUCAAAAUCAAAAUUUCAUAAAAAAAAAAAUAUAAUUCAUAAUUUUCAAAUUUUAACGCGGUAAAAAGAGUGAAAAUACGGGCACGUAAGUGCCCAUCUUUACGCUAAUUUUUAUAAUUGCAUAAGUGACUUUUUAGCUGAUGAAACGAUAUCAUAAUCUUUAUAAAUUGUAAAACCACAUUCUAUUUGUUAUAUGCAAAAGGCGAGAAAUAUGGCUAAACUUGUCAAGCUUGUUUAUGUUAUAAUUGUGUUUUAUACCCUAUUUCUUGUUGCAACGGAAAUUGUUUGUGAGCUAAUUUUUCAUACUCUUGAAAUUUCCUUUUAUUUCUUUUUAUCUCGUUUUAGUAACAUUAUUUUGUUCUUUUUCCUUCAAUACAGCGGGUAUUCCUUGUAACGAUGAUGUUGAUUGUCCACAGACUCUGUGUGAACAGUUAAUUGCCGACUUCAAGUAUAUGAUAGAUUUUAAGUCGGAGUGUGUUUCCCGUAUGUGUGCAUGUACCGGAAGUCCCGUUUAAGCUGCACUGGUGGUUGGUUUUGGUUCAAAAUGGAACAAUGAAAAAUACCUUUAAUAUUGGGUUGCUUAUAUAUUUUCACCAUAGAUGUGGAAAUCAUAAUAGGCUAUUAAUAAAAUUAUAAAUUAUACAUGUGGCCUUUAAAUAUCUUUUCUACGUACCCUUGUUAUUAAUUAAUUACUAAAAUCAAAAGAAAUUUCCUUCUCAAUUACAUGUCGUUGAGUUUUCCACCUAGAUAUGUGUUGUAUUUUUUUAUCUUAUUAAAAUAACAUAAAAUCUUAUUUACUCUCAAUCAAAAUCAAUCUAGAAUAUAAGGGUGUCUCUAUGUACUUCUCUAGGUGUGUGUUUAAUUGUUUUUUUUGUUGCAUAUAUGCAAAUAUCAAGUCAUAAAAACAUGUUUUA
rnacentral:lncRNA from 1 species